rnacentral:lncRNA from 1 species
UGGGGCGGUGUUUGCUUUGACUCCAGAACCUGUCUGGGGCUGAGAGCCCUGCCUGUGACCGGAGCUGCCUGUGCUGCUGCAGCCCCAGCGCUCGGGAUGGGGACAGCGGGCGGGACAAACCCCGUGCCCACCAUGGCCACCAGCCAAACACAGCGGGGACUGCGGGAACACUCCCGUAACCAAACACAAAACCGGCCGGGGACAGGAACGGGAUAUUGGGGAAUGCCCGGAUUUGCCUCAAUUAGCCAAACACCUGGGUGGUGCUGCCUGGAGGCACUUGCAAAGGAAGAGAUCAGGAGAUAUCCUGCUGCUAUCACGGUCUAACAGAAGCACUCGAUGUUCUGAAUGCUGGAUGAUUGUGUUUCAGUCAUGCAUGACACAAAAUUCAUUGUGGAUUGCUUCUAAGACUGUUGUCAGUGUGGAAUUCCUUCUCAGAAUGGACCCAACCUGUAUUUGGAGAGAAUUAAAUGAAGUCAUUAUAGAUGGUGAAACAGACCUAGCAAUGAAAGUGUUAUGAGAACAUGACAAGAAAUUGCUCCUGUCACAUGAUGGUUGUGAAAGUUAAUGCACAGAAAGAAGAAAGUAAUGAAGGAGUAAAGGUUUAGCUUUGUUAUGCUGGCUAGAAAAUAAAUGCAAUAAGUUUGUAGUAUAAUUGGGAAUA